CUCUGAAGUUACUCUCAGUGUCUUGCUCUCGGGUACAGUGUGAAAAGAAGAUUAGAAUGCGAGUAUUUUUGCAUGAGUUAUAAAAGUAAUUAUGUACAUUUAAAUGUUGUGUACGGCAUUGUAAGUGAGGUACAAGCUUUACCCAUAUUUUUGUUCUGUACGUGCGUCUGCGAAGUGUUUGUAUACCGCCAUAAUGAGGGAGAUCAAUAAGUUCGGAAGAGCAACAGAAAGAAAAACAUCCCGGUUCUAGUCGCACCGGGACUGCAUUUCGCGAUCGUUUUAAAGACGAUGAGUUGGAUUGGCAUUGAUAGUCUCUGCUUCCUACAUCGGGCAGACGCUUCUUCAGACGCGAUACUCAAUAGCAGAAAUGCCGUCAUUCUUCUGUCCAGCAUACUAUUUACCGGCGUUUUGUAUAAAGUCAUGAACGAACGCUUGUCAACUUGGAUUGCCGGUGAAAUACACACGCUUAUCUGACCGCUGUUGAAUCGGAAUUCGUUGCUAAAUUAUCGGAUGAAGAUGAAAGGUCGGAAAAUGGCAGUCCCUUUGGUACGGCCCACAACAAGUAUUUUUCAGACAGCUCAUGGCCUACGGUAUUUUAGCAAACGUAAAGCUGAACGCCGUAUUGAACACAUAGUUUUGAACAGAGAUUGUCGCAUUACCGUCGUGUGUACAUUUUUGUUCCAAGAAUAGAUAGGACGACAGAAACGCGUUCAAUUAUGAUCCUGACAGUGAAGCCGGCGAACAAGAAUAUCAGGAAUUAUGCAACUGGUGUAUGUGCACAGCCAAAAUAAGACACCAGCUACCUGUUAAUCAACCUUGUAUGUAAAUGGGAGCCGUCGAAGUGGUCAAUUUCGGCCUCAUAACUACAGUUCAAGGAAGCUGUAGCACUUGUCAUAACAAUGAGUAGAUAGACAUUGUGGACACAGAGAAUAUUUGUUUGAGAAAUUGUUAUUAGAAAAUCUUUGGAGGGACUGCAACAAAGGCUUCAGAAGGAUAAGAAAAGAACUGGUGUCUUCAUCAGCACUAACAUACUGACACGCAUUCAACACAAUGAACUUGGAGAUCAGUUCAGAGUUAUUUUUUUAGACAAAUACACGGUUGUUAACCAGGUGAGACAGACGAUGUUAUCUGGGUGGGAGCAGAUGAUUUGGCACACCCUGGAGGGUCUUCACUGACAGUGCCAGUGGUUGUGGCCAGGGGCUACAAAAAUGCGGGCGAAACUUCUCUCGUAAAGGUGCUGGACAUUGGUACAGUACAUUUCUAUGGAUAUGCCAAAGCAGCUGCUAUAGCCAUUUCACACUACGCUGGAGGAUGCAAUGUUGGUAGAUAUAUUCCAUGUCCGAUACGUCAGCUGUCGUGACUCAGAGGGCGGACUGUCACUUUGGACAAGACACUUAAGUCACCAAGUCUCUUAAUCUCAGUCCAGAGCUGCUCAAAAAGUCACAGUAGUGAAGAAUGAGAUUCACUUGUUACACACAGAAAUGGCCAGUGAGUGCGGGAGUGUCUGUCUGCCGGUCUAUGCCACACACACAGCUGGGUUGGAUGCUCUCUGAAAGAAGAUCGAGGGGCUGUUAUGCGCGCAGUGGCUAGGACCUCGAUGGCCGUCAGUGUGUCCUCCAGAGGGUAGGAAUCCCACCAGCUGUAUGAGGAGGUGGCCGUCGUCGGUGUGAACACCGUCCCGCAGUAGGAGCGGUAUCUGGCAACAGGAUGUUCUUUUGCUGAACUUCAUUACAAUUACAGAGUAGGAAAGUCAACCACAGGGAACAUAAUCCGUCAAGUUUGUGCAGUAAUAAGGAACAAAUUGAAAACAAUUUGUAUACUGCCUAUGACAGAAGACAAGUGGGAACAAGUUAGUAACAAGUUAGUAACAACUUUCUAAAGUAUGACAACUUUCCUAACUGCCUUGGAGCACUGGACUGUAAACAUGUUCGUAUUGUGCAACCCAAUGAUUCAGGGUCCCUUUUUCACAACUGCAAACAUUUUCAUUCAAUUGUACUACUAGCUGUUUGUGAUGCUAACUACCGUUUUUUGUUUGUGGAUGUUGGUUUCUAUGGCAAAAGUAAGGAUUCAUCAGUUUUCCAGGAAUCAAUAUUUUACAAAAAACUCAUAUAAGGUACAUUGAAUAUUCCACAGGCAAAACCAAUUUCAAAUGUGGACAUUACACUAUUGCCUCAUGUUUUUGUAUCAGAUGAUGCGUUCGGUCUGUCGAAACACAUCAUGUGUCCAUACGUUGGAAAAUUAUUGUCUCAUAUUAAAAGAGUUUUAAACUACCGAUUGUCAAGAUCUCGCAGGUAUAUUGAAUGUACUUACGGUAUUAUGGCAAACAAAUGGAGAAUAUUUCAUAGGCCUCUAAAUGUCAGUUUAGAACUUGCAGAAAGUAUAGUUUAGGCAUGUUGUGUGUUGCAUAACUAUGUACGACAACGAGAUGGGUACAGGUAUGAAGAUACAUUUUAUAAGGCGCCAUUCGUUGACUUGUCUGGAGUAACUUCUCCACGGCCCAACAUGUAUGCAAAAGAAGUAAGAGACAGAUUUGCUCGUUACUUCAUCAGUGAAGGCAAGCUACCGUGGCAAGAUAAAAUGGUGUAAACAAGAGUGCAAUUGCGAACAGUUAUGAGACAAGUAUAUGUUAAUAAUACAACAUUACAUUGCCCAUUAGAACAAUACAGUGUAAUUAUGAACAAUUAAAUAUUUUUCUGUCAUGCAUUUCUCUGUAGAUAUUGAUUACAUAUUAUACACUAUUUGUAAUAGACAUCAUGUUAACAACUUUCUGUAAAUAAAAUUAAGAAAGCAUAAAUAAAUAGGUGAAAUAAAUAGCUUUAGUUACCUUUGACAGAUAUUACAUCCAAAUAG